AUGGAGAGAAUGGCUCACUCCUACUUUAAGGAGAUUUUCACAAAAGAUCCAACCCUCUCUCCGGACGCGGUGCUGGACUGUAUUGCCCCAAAAGUUAUGGAGGAGAUGAAUGUUUCGUUAUGCAGGCCUUACUCAGAUGAGGAGAUCUCUAAUGCUUUAUUUCAGAUUGGGCCACUGAAAGCACCGGGAUGUGAUGGACUACCUGCUAGGUUCUUUCAACGGAAUUGGGCACUGCUAAAAUCUGAGAUUGUUGCUGCGGUCCACGAGUUCAUUGCGUCUGGUGUUAUGCAUGAUGGAGUUAAUAACACGGCUAUUGUGCUAAUCCCUAAGGUUCCUCAUCUGAAGGACCUGAAAGAUUUUAGGCCGAUAAGCUUGUGCAAUGUUAUAUACAAGAUCAUCUCAAAAUGUAUGGUAAACAGACUGCAGCCCAUUCUGACUAACCUCAUAUCUGAAAAUCAGAGCGCUUUCAUCCCGGGAGGCUGA
rnacentral:rRNA from 1 species